GUGCCAGCCGCUGCGGUAAUACGGAGGGUGCAAGCGUUAAUCGGAAUUACUGGGCGUAAAGCGCACGCAGGCGGUCUGUCAAGUCGGAUGUGAAAUCCCCGGGCUCAACCUGGGAACUGCAUUCGAAACUGGCAGGCUGGAGUCUUGUAGAGGGGGGUAGAAUUCCAGGUGUAGCGGUGAAAUGCGUAGAGAUCUGGAGGAAUACCGGUGGCGAAGGCGGCCCCCUGGACAAAGACUGACGCUCAGGUGCGAAAGCGUGGGGAGCAAACAGGAUUAGAUACCCUGGUAGUCCACGCCGUAAACGAUGUCGAUUUGGAGGUUGUGCCCUUGAGCGUGGCUUCCGGAGCUAACGCGUUAAAUCGACCGCCUGGGGAGUACGGCCGCAAGGUUAAACUCAAAUGAAUUGACGGGGGCCCGCACAAGCGGUGGAGCAUGUGGUUUAAUUCGAUGCAACGCGAAGAACCUUACCUGGUCUUGACAUCCACAGAACUUUCCAGAGAUGGAUUGGUGCCUUCGGGAACUGUGAGACAGGUG
rnacentral:rRNA from 1 species